rnacentral:rRNA from 1 species
UUUUAUGAGAGUUUGAUCCUGGCUCAGGACGAACGCUGGCGGCGUGCCUAAUACAUGCAAGUCGAACGCUUCUUUUUCCACCGGAGCUUGCUCCACCGGAAAAAGAAGAGUGGCGAACGGGUGAGUAACACGUGGGUAACCUGCCCAUCAGAAGGGGAUAACACUUGGAAACAGGUGCUAAUACCGUAUAACAAUCAAAACCGCAUGGUUUUGAUUUGAAAGGCGCUUUCGGGUGUCGCUGAUGGAUGGACCCGCGGUGCAU